CAAGACGUAGCUAUAACACAAAGCAUUCAGCUUACACCUGAAAGAUGUCUGCUAUUAACCAGAUCGUCUUGA
rnacentral:tRNA from 1 species